rnacentral:rRNA from 1 species
GACGAACGCUGGCGGCGUGCUUAACACAUGCAAGUCGAACGAAAAGGCCCUGCUCUUGUGGCGUGCACGAGUGGCGAACGGGUGAGUAAAACGCGUGUAACCUGCACUUGUCUUUGGGAUAAAUUCAGGAAACUGGGGCGAAUACCCGAUAGGAUCUACUGCAGCAUGGUGGGGGUUGGAGAGUGUCGGCGGUUGGGGAUGGUUUCGCGGGUUAUCAGCUUGUUGGUGAGGUAGUGGCUUACCAAGGGUUUGACGGGUAGCCGGCAUGAGAGGCUUACCGGGGACAAUGGGACUGAGGUACGGCCCAGAAGGCUACGGGACGCAGCGGUGGGGAAUAUUGCAGAAUGGGCGGAAGCCUGAUGCAGCGGCGCCGCGUGCGGGAUGACGGCCUUCGGGUUGUGAACCGCUUUCGCCUGUGACGAGGAGUGAGUGACGGUAAUGGGUAAGGAAGCACCGGCUAACUACGUG